CUUUAUUGAUCUCCAAAGAAAGAUGAAUAAAAGGAAAAUUACUCUACAUAUCAUUAAAACGUUCUAAAAGGACCGAGAAAAAUAUAACAGAAAGCAUGGACAGAGAAGACCGUCGUCGCUACUUUAUAGUAGGAUCUGUCAUACUGGAGAUAGUCACUCCACUGUUCUGGAAGAAGAUUGAAAAUGAUUAUACAAAUUCUGGAUUAGCAUCCCUGCAAGAUUUUUUAAAUAAACAAUCAACAAUUCACAUCCUCUUCCACCUUCGACACAGAAAUACCUGGUGCUGUAAAGACAAGACAAACUGUUCCAAUAAUGGAGCACUUCCACUCAAUUACUGCCAAUGGGAUCUGUUAUAUACAGAAAUUAAUCCUGGUAUCAAUCCACACGGCUGUCACUGUAAGUUUUCCGCCAAUCCUGUUCAACUAGAUAAUCUCGAUAUCACAUUAGGUAGCCUGAUUCUACUUAACUGUUGCAACCUUACACCUGAUGAAAAAGUUGCCAUCAAAAAGUUACGACAAUACAAGAAUGACUACCUGAGUCAUAAUAUAAAAGGAGCAAUAAUCAAAAGAGAGUACAAAACAUUGUGGGCAGAUCUGACAAACUUUAUCUUACAACUUGACUCGAGUAAGCAAGAUGACAUGACCAUAAUAGAAGCAAGACCACUGGAUGAAGCUUUAUGCAGAAGAUAUUGUUUAAGUCUCCUUGACCUCCACAAAAGACUUGACGAGAUUGACGAUACAAUCAAGACCAUGAAUAAUUCAGUACAGGGUACCCUCCAUAAUAUGG